rnacentral:lncRNA from 1 species
GCGAAAUUAAACGUCCAGUGCAGCCGAUUCAAACUUCCAGUCAAUAAAGAGUAAAUUUCCCACGGAAGUUUAAGACAAGAAAAUGUAAACCGUUUGGCCCCAACAAAGUGAAUGUCUUGAAAAGAAAUGAAUUUCUUGGUAUUACCAAGUGAGACAUUACAAGUGGACUUCAGGUCAGGCAUUUGUCGGGUUUUUUUCGGGAUUUUUUUGCGUCCUUUUUUCACAUAGUGAAUUUCUUAUUUUGAUUUUUAAUGUAGUGAGCUGCUUUAGACUGAGGAGUGAACUUCUGUUGGCAGUGAAAUAACAGAAUUUUGAGACCAAAUAAUAUCAACAUGUAGUGAACCAUGGAAGAACAUUCCUUGUGGAUAUUCAGAAAAAAAUGUUUGGUGCUACUUGAGGCAAGAACAUACCUCUCAUGCUGAUCUAACGAUAGACUAAAUCUAAUCACACCAAAGCAGGAAAAAGAUCGGAUGUGGACUUCCGCAUGACUCCCGUCACUACGAGGAGGCUUCGCGGCACAUGAUCACUUUUGAGAGAUGGACGUGCGCUGUCACGGGCUUUUGAAAUAUUUUGCUGGAAUUAUGGAAACAAAAUGCAUGUUAUAUUUCACAUGUAGAAAAAAAGAUAGCACGGGCAUAAUCGAGUAAUAAUUUAAGUCCACUUCACUUACAUUGUAAAUUGUUAACAAAAGGCAAUUUGACAAUGCAUACAUAUAGAGCGAUGAUCCAACUAAAAAUCUAUUACAAAUUAAUAUCUAUUUGAUGCGUUUAAGAAAUUCUCGCACAAUAUUAGCAAUGUUGUCUUUAGUUUCAUUUGCACAAUAUUUGAGCAAGUAUAAUAAAAAUGUCUUCCUCACCGGCCUUCGGGUCCGUCCACUUUCAUGCCAACCACGGUGGCCAACCUUGACCCAGGCUUCGACUUCUUUGCUUGCGCGAUGGCGGACGCCUCGCUUACUCGAAAACACCAUGAUGGACACCAUCCACCCUACCUUGCCUACCGGCAGCACUUUUCUUCCGGCACGGGCUCGCCGACCACCUCUCUCUCAGGAUCCUCUCCACAACUACACGGUGGCCGGAGCCAACCGUCCGCCAUGACUGCUCCACCACCACCCCGAGGCUCGACAUGAGUCAACUUUAAUCGUGUCAAACAUACAUUGUUUGGAUCCUCAUGCACAUUAAGCAACAUUCUUGAUUUUUUCUGCCUAUAAACCACUAUUAUUCUUCGUCUUUGUUCUCCUGCUCCUCUUCACUUACUAUCUCUACCGUCCCUAUCCAAGCCAGCCGCAAUCAUCAAUGUCCCAUCCGGCUCAAAAUCCCCAAACCUUCUACACCCAUACUAUGAAUUUUAAGGGACCUUUUGCCAUUAUUUUAUCCUUCAAAGUCUACAAACUAUAAUAUCAAUGUAGAAGUAAUUAGUGUAAACUCCUUUAUGCCCGCUCAUGGCCACUACGACCACAACUCUGUCGUCUCACCUACAUGAUGUGUGUCCACUCCCACAAUUUCCCCCUUACUCUGGCGAGGCCUCCAUUACUUUUGAAUAUUUUGUUCGGAUUAUUUGCCAUCAAGGAGAAAUUAGCAUAUUGCGCAUGAACAUAUGUGAUAAAAGUUCCUGCGAUUUGACACUACAGAGGUAGAGCAACAUGAAAAUAAAAGAGCAUGCUUCUAAUCUUCAAACUUCUUAGUUUAAAAAAAUGGCGAUAACCUUACAACAUUUUCCAGACUCUUGUCCAUACUGAAAAUGGUUCAUGCAUUAAGGAACACCACACAAAGUAUGGAAUCCAAAAAAACUAACAACAAGCGACAGUGACAUGGAUGGCUACCUUAUUGCUUUGGAAGUGGAUGGCAUGAGCCGUCGCUUAGAUGCACGAAACAGUCCCGACCAUGUACAGCUAGCCAAGAAACGUUGGGUCAAAACAAGGAGUUGGUACCUUGAGCAACGACGCCAUCGCGUUGACAUUUGCCCAACCCAACUGCUCAUGGCCAUCCUCGGCCACCACCUAUCCACCUGGACACACUCCUCUAGACCCAGGCGUUCUGAACGGCAUCCUCCCUGCUUCCCCAGCAUGAUGGCCGACUACCGUAACUUCUCUAGAGUGAAUCCUUCCAAAGGCGCUGCCGACAACAUCAUCCCUGUGGUGAUGCGUCUUCCUUCUUGUGCCUUUUGCUCCAUUGACCUCCUUCCUAUGAAAUUUCGGUAACAAGGUACAUUUCAGUAAUCAGUAAAAAAAUGCAGAUUUUAGUACAAGAGAAAUGAGCGUCUUGACAAAGGUUUAGUAGAAAUCAGAUUUCCGUACAACAAGAUAUUUUAGUACCUACUAAAAAGAAUAGUACAAGGGCAAUCAUCCGAACAAUAUCAUCAUAAGUAUGAACUAAACCUUUAGUCGCAGCAGGUACCUACUAAAUAGGAAGUGGAUGAUAUUCAUAUUACCCAUGUCAUCUCAAUAUCAUCAUAUGUUUAUUGUAGAAAAUCAUAAGCAUCAACACCACUACCUGGAAGACAUAUCUCCUAGCUUCUUUAUGAUUCAGAAUUCAACCCCAUGGAAGCUAAUAUGAAUAUCAUCUCAAGGAUCUAGAUAAAAUACCUGGAACAAAACUCAAUGAAGAACCAUAACAUCGAUCGAAACUAAACAUGAAAAUUUUGAACUCGCUGACUUUAUAUCAGUCUAGUAGUAAUAGUAGUACAAUCGCUGGUAGAAAAUGCAAUUCUCAACGUGCAUAUAGAUAUGCUAUUAUCUUGCUGCUAGAAAAUGUAGCGCUCAAGGUACAUAUAGAUAUGCCAUUGUCUUGCUGUGAAAUAGACUGCUUGGUUUGUUAGCUAGAUUAGGAAACCUAAGCUUUCCAACAAUUCCAAUCUGGAAGCACAAUCAGACCUCAUAGCCUUAAAGAUAAAUGAAAAGCAAUCAAACCAUUGGCGAGAACUUCUAAUUACGGCUCCGAGAGAACUCUAAUCCAUUUGUAAUUUGCCUAGAAAUAAAAUCAAUCAAACUGUAAUUUGCCUAGAAACAUGACCUCAAUGGCAUGCAUACCAUCACCUUUCAUAUCUUUUGUGGCAUUAAAUGAUUGUUGCAUUGUCUACGGAUGAGCCAAAAUUGCUAUGCCCCCAGUUCUACAAAUUAGAUGCACAAUAGAUUCCCCAUUCAGCCUAAUACCGCUGCAAAUGAACAAUAGAAAUCCACAUUAGUAAAUACAUCACGUCCCUGGUUAAGUAGUUAAUUUCAAGCCCAAAAAAUUAACACACUCCUGGCCAACAAUGUGCACGGUUAACCAUGAGCUACCGCAUCCUUGCCAAGUGUCCUCGUCCCACUCUUCCACUUGGCGUGAGGCCUCAACGGGACCUGCAUGAUCUAUCCAUCAGCGCAUUGACAGGAUUGUUACCAAAAUUCUUGUUCCUGUGAUCAAGCGGGAGGAGUACCGUGUAAAAUUCUGGCAUCCUG